rnacentral:rRNA from 1 species
CGCCUGUUUAUCAAAAACAUUUUUCUGCUUUUUCAGAAUAACUUCUGCUCAAUGUUUAUUAAUAGCUGCUUUAGCACGAAGGUAGCAUAAUCACUUGCCCCCUAAUUAGGGGCUGGUAUGAAGGGAGUUUUUGCUAAAUUGCUUAGAGUGGGGUGAAAUUGAAAUUAAAAUAAAAGUGAAAAUUCUUUUAUUAGUUAAAAAGAUGAAAAGACCCCGCAGAGCUUACUACAUCAGCGUGCAACUAAAAGUUACUUUUAGUUGCACGCUGAUGUGGUUGGUUGGGGCGACCUUAAUUUAAAACAAACUCUCAAUAAACUUUAUGAGAAAGAUCCUAAAAGAUUGUGGUUUAGCUACCUCGGGGAUAAUAGCAUUAUUUUCUAACCCAGUUCUUGUGGGUUAGAGGGGUUUUGACUUCGAUGUUGGAUCAAGCUUAGUCCCUAGAAAUAUAGGAGGCUUUUGUGUCUGUUCGACACCAGUAGCUUACGUGAUCUGAGUUCAGACCGGA